GUGAGUCAUCGAGUCUUUGAACGCACCUUGCGCUCCUUGGUAUUCCGAGGAGCAUGCCUGUUUGAGUGUCAUUAAAUUCUCAACCUUUCUGGCUUUUUAUUAGCUGGUCAGGCUUGGAUGUGGGGGUUGCGGGCUUCUCAGAAGUCAGCUCUCCUUAAAUGCAUUAGCAAAACCUUUGUUGACCAUCUCUGGUGUGAUAAUUAUCUAUGCCAUUGGGAAGCAGCUUUUUUAUAUGGGGUUUUUAGCUUCUAACUGUCUUAUCAUUGGACAACUCUUGACAUUUUUGACCUCAAAUCAGGUAGGACUACCCGCUGAACUUAAGCAUAUCAAUAAGCGGAGG
rnacentral:rRNA from 1 species